rnacentral:lncRNA from 1 species
UUAAAGGCUCAUUUAUUUUAUAAUCAUUCAUCUUAUGAAGCCCAAGUCCAUAUUUCAUAAUAAAAUAAAUAAGUGCCAUGAUCCAAAUAAAUUUCAGGAGAAAUAAUAAUAUAAAUACAAAUAUUACAUCCAGCCCGUAGCAUAUAAAUAUAAUCAAUACUCAUAAUCGGACCCAUCCAUGGCACCAUCAGACCAUAUUGUCAUAAUUGAUGGGCUUGUUCCUUCAUAAGAACCGACAAAGACUUUAAAUUUAUUACAAAAAUAUUGGAGUAGCUAACUCCCCAUUCAUACCCAAUUAGUCCUAAGUAACUGCAAAGGUUGGAUUAUUUAUACAGAUAGAGUUUUGAUACAAAAAGAAGUUCAAAAGCAGUUAAAAUUUACAUUAAGGCUCUGUUGAUGAAGGGGGAACAAAGCUAUUUGUCAAAAGAGGAAAAAGAGCUUCUUCCUGAAAAAUGUAGAUACAACGGGAAUGAGUAUAAAACUCAGUGAAUAAUAAUACAUAAUAUUAAAUCCAAACAAUCAAGCGAUAUGUUCCUAGACUCUUCUAAUUGAGCAUUCACCAGUCAUACAAUGUCAAAUACAGCACCCACAAAUAAUAACCACCAUAAUGCACACCUUAACAGGACCAUGCUCACCCGCAAGCAUGCUUUAACGUUAAUAAUAUAAUCCCAAGGUCCUGUGACUUAUGUAACCAAGGAGCCCACCCUUGUUCAGGCAAAUCAGAUUCAGGUAUAAAUAUUUUUUAUAAAGCAUUUUUAUUUAUCAUAAGAAUUUUUCCAUAAUAAACAUUAAAUUCCGGGUACAAAAGGGGGGGCGCCACUCCCACCGCUUAUGGCCCAUAGAAGGCAUCCUCACCAUGCCCGUGCUCUCAACCCAGAUGAUCCACGUCGUCCCAACUUCCACACAACAAUCACAUAACAUUAUACCAAGUAAUUUAUUCACAAUCUUAAUCAAUGCACAUCCAUCCAUUUAUAUAUAUAGCAUAUAUAUAUUUGUACUUGAAAAUAAACAGAUGCAAAAUUUAAAAUAAAUUAUGCCUGCAUGAAUUUGGUAAAGCAUUAUAUAUUAUUACUCAUAGAGAGAUCCGAAAAUCUAGCAUUGUUGGGCACCAGGAGCGGAGGAGGAAGAAGGUCUCGCUCUAUCACCAACUAGAAGAAAUAAACAAGCUAAAAUUAAUAACUAUUUUUGCUUAUUGAUAGAAUUUGAAUUCCUGUAGUUUGAAUAAUAUUCUAAAAAUUCUAUCAAAAAGGCGGAAGGGUUUCCCCUAAAAGUUUUGACUUUUCCCCUAAUAAAAUAUCCACAAAUCACAUUAAUUUAUAAAGCCCAUCCAUUGAGCAACAUUCACAUCAAUGAAACCCGUCCACCGUUAACAAUAUUCAUCAAAAUCUCAUCCUUAAUAUCCAACCAUACAUUUUGAUUUAAACAACAUCAAUAUCCAAUAAAAUUUACAUUUCCAACUUCAAAUACAUAUGUAUCAAAUACUUCAAUGACUGAAGAUUCUAACUAAUACUUAAGUACAGCUUGUUAACAUACAUAUUAUAUACUACAAAGCUUAAUUUUGUUUUAAAAAGGGAUAAAAUAUUCUUUAUAUAUAAACCUAUCUAAAUAAUUUAAAUCUUAUUAUUUUAUUGUACCUACUUUGAUAAUUAAUCAACAUAAGUUUGCUAAGAUCACAAAAUCUAUAUAUAACUCACAUUUCUGUAGUUUUUAGGCUAUAACACCAAAUUUCUAAAUUUGCGUCAAAUAAUUAUUCGAAGGUCAAAUGAAUUCGGAUUGCAAAACUAACUGUAUAUUCAUAAUCUACAUAAAAAGGGCAACAUUCUGCCUCUUCAAAGCUCUGGCCACCGGAACCAUCUGGCCACCGGCAUCGCCGACGUACUUGGUGGUUAGAGCGGUGGCAAGUCCGAAAUCAAGCAAUCUCACCACGACUUUGCUCUAAAUUUAACGUAGAGUGUCAAUUUGAGGUCAAUUUCUACUAAUUAAAUCGAUUUAAUCCAAAUUCCCAAAUAAUUUUUAAUUAAAAAUCUAAUUUUCUAAAUCCUUCAAAACUUCAUUCAAAGAUCAAAUUAAUUAAAGAAGAACUAACUAAAAGUGUUAAUGGUUAGGUUUCAACUAACCUGAGCGAAAGAAGUCGCCGGAGUAGCUCGUCGUCGUCGAAAAAUCGAGAGAAGAGAGAGAGAGAGAGAGAUAGUCAGGUUUCUUUCCCGUCACCGGUAAUCUCUUUUCCAGCCGGUAGGAGUGGAGUUAUCGACGGAUUGAGAAGGGAGAAGGAAGGUAUCGAUGAAGAGAAGGAGAAAUGGAAAGAAAUAAAGAAAAGAACAGAAAAUAAAGGAAGUAAAGGUAAUAAUAAUAAAAAUUUGAUUAAAAUUGGGGAAGGGAAUUCACGUCGUUUUGGGUAGUCUAGGAUCUUC